GUGUGGCAAUUCCGUAGUUCCAUGGUUUGUACUUUAGCGCUAGCGAUUAUUUUGGGGGCAUUCUUUCUCUUUCUGCCUCUCUCUUUUCUUUCUUCUAUCGAUCUUCACGGCGUGGUUGCUUUUCGAUCUCUCUCCCACAAAAUUAGGGUUAAGACCUAGAUCCGACCACCUUCAUGUUUUGGAAGCUUGCAUCUCUCUCUGCUUCCUCCCCCGUGGAGGCAAUAUUAGACAAGGAUAAUUUCACUUUGGAAGAGCUUCUGGAUGAAGAGGAAGUGAUCCAAGAAUGCAAGGCCUUAAACAGUCGCCUUAUCAACUUUUUGAGAGAUCAGACCCAGGUUGAGCAAUUGUUACGGUACAUUAUUGAAGAAGCACCCGAAGAUGCUGAAAAUAAACGAGCCUUCAAGUUUCCAUUCAUUGCCUGCGAGAUUUUUACAUGUGAAAUUGAUGUCAUUUUGAAGACCUUGGUUGAUGACGAAGAGCUGAUGAACUUAUUAUUCUCCUUUUUGGAGCCUAAUCGCUCACAUAGUGCCUUGUUAGCAGGCUACUUUAGUAAGGUUGUUGUUUGCCUAAUGAUUCGAAAGACAGUUCCACUGAUGAAUUAUGUUCAAGUCCAUCAGAAUGUUUUCCGUCAACUGGUUGAUUUGAUAGGAAUUACAUCCAUUAUGGAGGUUUUGGUUCGAUUAGUAGGUGCUGAUGACCAUAUGUAUCACAAUUUUAUAGAUGUGAUGCAAUGGUUGGCUGAGAGCAACUUGCUUGAGAUGAUUAUUGAUAAAUUGAGUCCAUCUUGUCCUCCCGAAGUUCAUGCCAAUGCUGCUGAAACAUUGUGCACAAUAACUAGAAAUCCCUCAUCUACUCUAGCAAUUAAACUUUCAAGCCCAAGUUAUGUUGAAAAACUAUUGGAUCACGCACUGGAAGAUUCACAGUCAAAGUCUAGCCUUGUGAAUUCACUUUCAGUGUGUGUUUCUUUGUUGGAUCCCAAAAGAUCUGCUAUAUCAUCUCCCCUUUUUCAUUCCUUUCGAAGUCAACACAUGUAUGAGCCACCAAUUCCUGUAAACCCAGACACUAUUGGUGCAAUGCUACCAAAACUUGGUGAAUUGCUUAUGCUUCUGAAUGUAUCAUCCGAUGAAAAAGUGUUGCCCACAACAUAUGGAGAACUGAGACCUCCCCUUGGCAAGCAUCGAUUGAAGAUUGUUGAGUUCAUUGCCGUCCUUCUGAAAACCGGAAAUGAAGUGGCAGAAAAAGACAUGGUCAAUUCAGGAACUAUUCAACGAGUCAUUGAUCUUUUCUUUGAGUAUCCAUAUAAUAACUCAUUACACCAUCAUGUAGAAAGUAUCAUAUUAUCAUGUUUGGAGAGUAAAGCUGAUGCCAUUGUUGAUCAUCUUCUUCGGGAGUGUAACUUAAUUGGAAGAUUUCUCCAAGCAGAUAAACAUUCUAUUCUAUCUGCUGACAAAAAUACGCCAACUGUACUUGCUGCUGGAAAACAGGCACCACGGGCAGGGAACAUUGGGCAUAUUACUCGUAUUGCUAACAAACUUGUUCACCUAGGACAUAGUCGAAGCCUCAUACUAACAUGUCUUCAGGAAAAUAGUGAGUGGAGUGAGUGGCAAACAUCAGUUCUUCAGGAGCGUAACGUGGUUGAGAAUGUUCACCGUUGGGCUUGUGGACGUCCGACUGCUUUGCAAGAUAGGAUGAGGGAUAGUGAUGACGAUGACCUUCAUGACAGGGACUAUGAUGUUGCAGCUUUAGCAAAUAAUUUGAGCCAGGCUUUUAGAUACAAAAUUUAUGGGAAUGAGGAUAAUGAGGAGGAACGUGGCAACGGUGAUAGAGAGGAUGAGGAUGUCUACUUUGAUGAUGACUCUGCUCAGGUAGUCAUAUCAAACCUCAGACUCAGUGAUGAUCAAGGGAGUAGUCUUUUCACAAACUCCAACUGGUUUGCAUUCCAAGACGACAGAAUUGGUGAUGCAACUGGGGGCACAACAUCAUCUGAGAUGAUGGAUGAGAUAAACAUGAAUGGUGCUGCAAAUGGUGGUAACAGUAGUGAUGAUGAGGUAGUUGUUGGAGAGGAUGAAGAAUUGGCUGAAAGCACCAAUAAUCUCAAUGGUACAUCUAACUCAAGCACAAACUUAAAUGGGGUAACUGGUAGUGAUUCCAUGAAUGGGGACGCCUUGAACUUCGAAAGCAAAAAGGCAAGUGCUUCACAUGAUAUGGGUUUCUUCAGGUUUGAGUCGGACAAUGAAGAAUUGUUUGGGGACAGGCCUUUGCCAGAGUGGGUGGAAUGGGGUGGACCUUUAGAUGUGCAAGAUGCUGGCUCAACCACGAAUCCAUUUGUGGACCAUGAUUCUUCUGGUUACAACCUUCCUACCAAACCUCAAAUAGGUAACCUAAAUCCUAGUCCUCCAAAUGGGGACUCUGUUCCUUCAAACAGGUCACCAACCCCUAAAGAUUCAAUUGUUGGGAGUAUUGACUCGAGUCAAAGAUCAAUAGCAGUACCAUCACUCUUUGAAGAAGAUGUUGAAUUUGUAGGUGUAGAAUUAGAAGGUACUGAGAAGGCUAUGGAACAGGCUUUGAAAGAAGGGAUAGUUGGAGAGGCAGGUCCAUUGAAAAGAAACAUGGUUUCUAAAGUGCCAGAAAAAGAAAGUUCUGAUGAGGGUGGUCCUGGAAUAAAGGAAUUCAAUGAUGCAAAUUACUGGAGGGUUGACCAGGAAGUUGCUGUUCUGGAGUGACACGGACAUGAUGGUAAAUCUUGUUUGUAUCAAAAGUUAGACCAACACCAGUGGACCCUAUUCUUGGUUCGCAGGAGCGAAUUCAGCAAAUUAAUCAUUCACGAUGAUUUGCCAUCAGUGAAUUUUGCCAAGUCUCUGCAAACACCAUGGUACCACCGGCAUCUGGUGAAUAUGAUUCGGCUGACUAAUGAGCUACAGAAUCGCGAAUUUAUCAUUUUAUCAUGGUUCAUUAUAUGUCACUGGCUGAAAGGUAAACAUUCUUCUAAGCAUGUGGUCCGCACUUUGGUCUUCAGGUUUCUUAGAAUGAAGAUAUUUGUUGGUAAGAUUUCGUCAUUAUCUCAAUGCCUUGUGUUAUUAGUCUUUAUCUAAAUAUUUUA